CCUACGGGGGGCAGCAGUGGGGAAUAUUGCGCAAUGGGCGCAACCCUGACGCAGCCAUGCCGCGUGAAUGAAGAAGGCCUUCGGGUUGUAAAGUUCUUUCGGUAGCGAGGAAGGCUUUUAGUGUAAUACACUAGAUGAUUGACGUUAACUACAGAAGAAGCACCGGCUAACUCCGUGCCAGCAGCCGCGGUAAUACGGAGGGUGCGAGCGUUAAUCGGAAUAACUGGGCGUAAGGGGCACGCAGGCGGUAGCUUAAGUGAAGGGUGAAAGCCCCGGGUUUAAGGUGGGAAGUGCAUUUGAUACUGGGUAGCUGGAGUGCGGUAGGGGGGGGUAGAAUGCGAGGUGUAGCGGUGAAAUGCGUAGAGAUGUGGAGGAAUACCGAAGGCGAAGGCAGCCCAUUGGGAAUGUACUGACGCUGAUGUGCGAAAGCGUGGGGAGCAAACAGGAUUAGAUACCCCAGUAGUC
rnacentral:rRNA from 1 species